UUUUUGCAACAUCGUAUAUUGACCAAUAUACUACAAUCAGACAUUUGCACACGCAUAUAUACUACGAUGUACCAAAAAUAUACUACACUGGCGCAAAAAUAUACUACAACUCCGCUACAAUAUAACUACACUCUCGUAAAACGGCCCCGAAAUACGGUAGUAUAUGCUGCAAAUAUACCCUCUACGAUUUU
rfam:Antheraea pernyi nucleopolyhedrovirus, complete genome.